rnacentral:rRNA from 1 species
AUUAUUGGGCGUAAGCGCGCGCAGCGGUUUNUUAAGUCUGAUGUGCNAAGCCCCCGGCUCAACCGNGGAAGGGUCAUUGGAAACUGGGCAAACUUGAGUGCAGAAGAGGAAAGUGGAAUUCCACGUGUAGCGGUGAAAUGCGUAGAGAUGUGGAGGAACACCAGUGGCGAAGGCGACUNUCUGGUCUGUAACUGACNCUGAGGCAGCGAAAGCGUGGGGAGCAAACAGGAUUAGAUACCCUGGUAGUCCACGCCGUAAACGAUGAGUGCUAAGUGUUAGGGGGUUUCCGCCCNUUAGUGCUGCAGCUAACGCAUUAAGCACUCCGCCUGGGGAGUACGGUCGCAAGACUGAAACUCAAAGGGAAUUGACGG